AAUUAAAAAGGCAUGAACAUUUUUUUUGUAUCGAAAAAAUAUCGAACCGUGACACCAAAGUAUCGAACCGAACCGAACCGUGAAUUUUGUGUAUCGUUGCACCCCUAAUAAAUACACAAACAAUACACAUAUUCUUUCAAUUGUGUAAUUUAAGUGAUCUAGGUAGCUUUGUUUUGGAAGUUCAGUUAAUGCUAGAAAUGUGUACAAUGCGCGACACAUGAUGAAGACGAAACUCGGCCCGUCCCCAAAACGGUUGCACGACUGAAAAAUUGUCUCAAAAUGAGCCAAAAAUCGCACAGUGUAUGCCCAGCUUUACCUGACACCCUAAACCAGUUCUUUGCCCGUUUUGACUAACUGAUGGGAGUGUUUGAAGUAAAGUCAGACAUAUUGAUUUCUAAGCUCAGCAAUGACGUGCUCGGUUUUUUUUUCUUAUAAAGUACAGAAGAGCGACUUUUUUUAAAAAUAUUUAAUUUGCUUCAGCAGUUGAAAUUACAAGUUACAGACGUCGAUGUGAAACCAGCAGUCUGCUUCACACAAAGAUGACCCUCAGGGCGGGCAAUUCAGUUCAAUACUACAACAAAAACAACUAUUAUUGUGACUGUCGUCUUCUAGGAAGCGACGUGGCGCUCCUCCCUUGCAUAUCUUCUCCUCUCUGACCUCGUCUCGGUCAGACAUGAACCAGAACAUGACCCAGAAAAAAUAUCACCCUGACUUUAACCAGUUAUGUGUAAGCAUGUUUGCAAAAAUCCCUUCUUCUUUUCAAUUCAAUUGAAUUUUAUUUACACAGCGCCAAAUCACAACAACAGUCGCCUCAAGGCGCUUCAUAUUGUAAAGUAUAUCGUACAAUAAUAGAUACAGAGAAAAACCCAACAAUCAUAUGACCCCCUAUGAGCAAGCACUUUGGCGACAGUGGGAAGGAAAAACUCCCUUUUAACAGGAAGAAACCUCCGGCAGAACCAGGCUCAGGGAGGGGCGGGGCCAUCUGCUGUGAUCGGUUGGUGUGAGAGAAGGAAGACAGGAUAAAGACAUGCUGUGGAAGAGAGACAGAGAUUAAUAACAGGUAUGAUUCAAUGCAGAGAGGUCUAUUAACACAUACUGAGUGAAGAAGAAACACUCAAUGCAUCAUGGGAAUCCCCCAGCAGUCUACACCUAUUGCAGCAUAACUAAGGGAGGAUUCAGGGUCACCUGGUCCAGCCCUAACUAUAUGCUUUAGUAAAAAGGAAAGUUUGAAGCCUAAUCUUAAAAGUAGAGAUAGUGUCUGUCUCCUGAAUCCAAACUGGAAGCUGGUUCCACAGAAGAGGGGCCUGAAAACUGAAGGCUCUGCCUCCCAUUCUACUUUUAAAUACUCUAGGAACAACAAGUAAGCCUGCAGUGUGAGAGCGAAGUGCUCUAAUAGGGUGAUAUGGUACUACAAGGUCAUUAAGAUAAGAUGGGGCCUGAUUAUUUAAGACCUAUAGAGAAAUAUCUUUGACACUGUUUCAGUUAUUAUGUUACAUGUUUGAUUUUGUAUAGUAUGUUGGUAGAGAAUAUAUGCUGCGUGUUUAAUUUGUGUCGGGUAAGAAAACAUCACAGCACAUGUGUGGUAGCAGGUUAGAAACACAGCAGAGAAACAGCUUUAGUGAAGGUUACAAAUGAUCUUCUUAUGGCCUCUGACAGUGGACUCAUCUCUGUGCUUGUCCUGCUAGACCUCAGUGCAGCGUUCCAUACUGCCGACCAUAAUAUCCUAUUAGAGCGAUUAGAGCGCGCUGUAGGUAUUACAGGUACUGCACUGCAGUGGUUUGUAUCAUAUCUAUCUAAUAGACUCCAAUUUGUGCAUGUAAAUGGAGAGUCCUCUUCACACACUGAGGUUAAUUAUGGAGUUCCACAGGGUUCAGUGCUAGUGUAACAUAGUUAAAUAGAGUCAAAGUUAAAUCCCGCUAAAUGGGACAUUGGCGCCACCUACUGUUGUAAAAGUCACCCUGCAACAUUCAAAAAGGGCAAGGGAUUCUGGGUAAUCCUCAGAAUAAUGGAGGAUUCCCGCGAGGUAAGGAAUGCGCAAAUGUCGUGGGGAAGAAAAAUCAUAUUGCAGGUUGUUAAAGUAAUACAAUCUGACCCGAUUAUUUUUGUUGUUUAUACAUCAUUUGUUGCGGGUCAUUUCUCCAGUCUUUAUGUUGAAUUGAGUGCACGUUUAUGUGAGAUUUCUUUAUUGGGAAGAGAGGAAAAAAAUGGGAGCAUAGUUAGCUAACUCUGUUGUUGCUUUCCCAUUUAGAUCUUGUGCUGCUCACCCACGCCAUUAAAAGAGAGCAUUCUAACCACUGCCUUUUUGUUGUGAAUGCAGCUGCCGUCCACCAGGGGGAGCUGCAGCUCCUGCACACCAGCCUGGACCCACACACAUAUCUGAGGCCUGUAAAGACAACAUGCUGAAAUCACGUCAGACCUAUCUUAAUGAAGGUGACACAGCUGAGCCAGUCAGAGAUCCUGUAUAGCGGGUAUCCUCGGUAUACCCUCUGACACCACCACAUCUGUCCACAACACACACUUAAAAGGAUACGGGGUCCCCUGACCCCCUUAUAACAG